UACGUAGGGCGCAAGCGUUAUCCGGAAUUAUUGGGCGUAAAGAGCUCGUAGGCGGUUUGUCGCGUCUGCCGUGAAAGUCCGGGGCUCAACUCCGGAUCUGCGGUGGGUACGGGCAGACUAGAGUGAUGUAGGGGAGACUGGAAUUCCUGGUGUAGCAGUGAAAUGCGUAGAUAUCAGGAGGAACACCGGUGGCGAAGGCGGUCAUCUGGCCCGGUACUGACGCUCAGGCACGAAAGUGUGGGUAGCAAACAGG
rnacentral:rRNA from 1 species